rnacentral:lncRNA from 1 species
ACCUUCACCUCCACCACCGCUAGUCUACUCACCUCCUCCUCCUCCUCCUUAUAUUUACUCGUCUCCUCCUCCACCGUCACCUAUGGUAUACUCGUCUCCUCCUCCUCCUCCUUAUGUGUACUCGUCACCUCCUCCUCCUCCUUAUGUGUACUCGUCACCUCCUCCUCCUCCUUAUGUGUACUCGUCGCCUCCACCGCCAGCUACAAUACAUUCGUCACCUCCACCUCCAGUAUCCUGGUGGCACCAGCAACCGUCACCUCCUCAUCCAGAACCUUGGUGGCACCAGCAGCCGUCACCUCCUCAUCCAGUACCCUGGUGGCGCCACCAAUCAUCACCUCCUCAUCCAGUACCCUGGUGGCGCCACCAAUCAUCACCUCCCUAUCCUAAAUACUCACCACCGCCGCUGCCUUCGGUUUAAUUUACUCGCCUUCUCCACCAAUCCGGUGCAUAGAACCUCCUUUGCCUCCACCUCUUCCGAUAACACCAAGUCCAUUACUGGCACCGGUCUACGACAGUUCACUGGCUUCCGUUUUCCCCACCACUUCUCGAUGUUGUUGUGAUGAAUGAGCAUGAGAGUGAUAGAAAUUUCAGCAAUGAAUAAAUGAUUGUAUAGAUUGAAUUUGGUUAUUUAAUCUUGGUAUUAAGAAUUGAUUACACUUAAAACAUAAUUAAAUUCUUUUUUUCCCCACAC